UACGUAGGGAGCAAGCGUUGUCCGGUAUUACUGGGCGUAAAGGGCGCGUAGGUGGGCGCUUAAGUCAGGUGUGAAAACUCCGGGCUCAACCUGGAGACUGCACUUGAAACUGGGUGUCUUGAGGGCAGGAGAGGAAAGUGGAAUUCCUAGUGUAGCGGUGAAAUGCGUAGAUAUUAGGAGGAACACCAGUGGCGAAGGCGACUUUCUGGACUGUACCUGACGCUGAGGCGCGAAAGCGUGGGUAGCGAACGGG
rnacentral:rRNA from 1 species